rnacentral:tRNA from 1 species
GGAUUGUGGCCCAGCGAUAGAGCUCUCGCCUAGCACGUGUGAGGCCCUGGGUUCAAUCCUCAGUACCA